AUUUGAUGUUGAGGACAUCACAUAAUUAAAACAUUAAAUCGGUCCCAAUACUCAAAUAAAGACUCCCUUGUUUGUUGUUUGAUCCCACAUAUUUUUUUCCUUAUGUU